CGGUUGGCGGUCCUGGAAGAUGCGGGUUAAUUUCGGGGUGUUGGCGAGGGGCGCGCUGGGAGCGCCCGCCGGUUGUGCGAGCGGAGCGCUGAGCCUGCUCUCGCAGAGAAGGCGAAAGGGCAGCUCUCUGCGUUAAAAACACUUCUGCGGCUGUUCAGGGGGAGAGAUACCUUCACUGUUCUUUAUUUGCACCCAGUGCCUUCCCAUAGGCUCGGUGACGUUGCCCCUCAAUUCAGGGAGGGCACUGAGUUGCUGGAACGAGUCCAGAGAAGGGCAAUGGAGCUGGUGAAGAGUCUGGAACGCCGGUCUUAUGAGGAGUAGCUAAGGGAGCUGGGGAUGUUCAGCCUGGAGAAGAGAAGGCUCAGGGGUGACCUUAUCAGUCUCUACAACACCCUGAAAGGAGGUUGUAGCCAGGUGGAGGUCGGUCUCUUCUCCCAGGCAACUAGUGACAGGACAAGAGGACAGUCUUAAGCUGCAGCAGGGGAGGUUCAGGUUGGACAACAGGAGGAACUUCUUCACAUAAAGGGUGAUUAGACAUUGGAAUGGACUACCCAGGGAGGUGGUGAAGUCACCGUCCCUGGUGGAAAGGCUGAACGUGGCAUGGUCUAGUUGCCAGGGUGGUGUUAGGUCAUAGGUUGGACUCAAGGACCUCAGAGGUCUUUUCCAACCUAAUUGCUUCUGUGAAUUUCAUACUUUGAAGGCACACGACUUGCCUCUUGGUGUCCCAGGGUUGCCUGAGGUUGCCUCAGGGUUUGAUCCUGAAGGACUGCCACAGGUGGGAAAUCCCAAAGUGGUUUAAAGGUGCAUGUUUGGGCCAUGAAGCAGACUAACAGUAGCUUUGUCCACCUGGCUGAUUUUCCUCUUCCAUUUCUGAUUCUAGUUAUGGCAGGUCCUGUUCUGUGGGUCUCAGGGAAGGCUUUUAGAUACUAAAACCUGAUAGAUGCUACUCAUCACAAAUGUUCUGUUUUCUAUUGUCUUCCCAGCACAGCAAUCACAGAUGGAGCUGAAAUGGUGCUAGGUUACAACAGAAGAAGAAGCAGCCAAGAUCAAAAUGCUCUGGUUUGUCUUGGCAGAAAAUGUAAAUUGUGCUGCGCUUCAAUAUGCUGUAGACCUGUCUGGAGCUCAUCUGGUAGCCUAAUAAUGGCUGAAAAGUGGGAUUAAACUUGAGUUGUUUGACCUGAGGCAUGUAAUCAUCCUGCCUGCAGUCUAACACCCAGUACCCUGAUGGUUGCACAGUUCUUUCCUUAUCAUGUGACCCAAACUGAUCCAUCACGUGACCAAAAUGCAGGCAUCUUCCUUUACACAAAGGUAUGUCACUCCUGAUGGGAAGACCCAUAAACAUCAGGUAAGAGACUGCAAGAUUUUCUCAGUUCUCUGCAGAUGGAUGUGUGCCGUGACCAUAGAUUUUUUUUUGGCCUAUAUAACUACAUGCAUUUUGGUUGUCUUAAGAUGUGUGUUCAGCUCUGUGGCUGCAGAAGCGCAUAUGGUAUGGUGACAUGCGGAAGUGAUUCCCUAAAAGCAAUUCUGUGAUGUGGUAAGCUGAAUACACAGGAGGUCACUGAGCUGAACAUUGUUGGUGCCAGAGAAGAUUUAUGAUGAGGAAAUUGGGACAGGAAGCCAGGAGCAAAAAGGCUUCUGACAUCUAGAGGACUGAAGAUCUCAACAGCUUCCCAAACAGGAAAGUGGGAGCACACAGCCUAUGUUGUUUCAUGAUGAAGCUUCAUAAAUUCAGAGUCCUGGUUGGUAUGAGAAGCCAGGUUUGACCCAGGACUUGACAAUUAAAGCUGGAGGAGGGAGGGAGGUGGUACCCCCAAAGAAGGAUGAAAAGCCCUUACUGUUAGAUGUGAAGAAGCUGUCAUUGAAACCAUGUUUCUUUGCUGUGGCAGGAUAUGGCAACAGAGGUAGGGGAAAGCAGGGGAAGGUUCAUCAUGUAGGUGGCUCCUGUGAGGUGUAAGCAAAACAAGGACUGUUAAUCAAGUGGCAAGUCAGCUGCUGCUCAGAAAAAGGGGUGCAACGCUGUAUGACAUCCUUAAAAAAUAAGAACCAAGAAGAAGUUGUGAUCUGCUGCAGAGAGCUGAGGGUGCGUGUUGGUCUUCAGAUUAAUUUAGGUUACAAGGAGGAGCAAGAGGAAUGAUCAAAGUUGUCAAACCUUUCCAUCUGAGGAGAUAGUAAAUGAAAAGUAAACAGACCAAGAUGUUUCUAUUUGGAGAAAGGGUAUGUGAGAGGAUACUAUGGAAGAAAUCUAUAAAAUGGUGAGUGGUGUUAGGGCAGAUAGGGAACAGUCACGUACAGCUUCUCACAAUAAGAGAACUGAAUGGAAGUCUGUAAAAUUUUUGUUUGGCAGAUUCAAAACACAAGGAAGUAAUUUUUCUCAUAAUGGAGAACUGAAUGUAGAAUACAUAUAGUGUUAUGGUAAUAAAAAUGGGAAUGGGUUAAAAAAGGAAUCAGAGUAAUUUUAGAGACAAGCCUAUUGAAGACUAUUAUGCAGUGGUCUAGAAAGAAAUCUCCAGCUUGGAAUUAUUGGGAGUUACAGGAUAUGACCUGGAAAGGAUCAAUCUGUAUGUCUAAUGAGCUUUUCAUAAGCACCUACAAUUGGCCACUGUGGGGAAAAGGGAACUGAGCUAUGAAGACCUUUGGUCUGGCCAAGUACAGACUUUUUAAAUUCUACUUUCCCAACAGAGUAAAUGACUUCAUUGAGGGUUCUAAUAUCAACCACAUAAUUUGAGGUUAGCACAGGUAAAGGAUAUUUUAGAUGUUACAUCUAACUCGAUAUUGUUUUGAUUAACAGCUAUGAAAUAUCCAAAGGGCAUUAUUUGGCAUCAUUCAGGUGGCAUUGGUCUUAUGCCAUGAAUGCAACAAGGUUAUGUAUGAGACCAGAGCUCUUUCUCCUGGUAAACACCAUGCCAUAUGUUUUUAUCAGGCACUAAUUUGGAGGAGAAUUAAUCUUAAGAAAGUUAUUACGUUAGAGUGUCCUAGUUAUGUCUAAGUAUAGAGCUGGGGGCUUCUUCAUUUAUACAAAUAUUGCUAAACAUUUAAUUUCAGAUUCUCAGUCUGGUGGAUAAUAAAAAAUGACUACCCACCAAACUUGUAGCAUUAAAUGGAGACUUUAUUUUUGGCAGCUCAUUGGAGAGGGAUUAAUAUUACUGGAAUGGCUUUGUUUCUCAGCAAUGCUUCCUUAAGAACAGCUUCCUCUGAACAUAUAUUUCUAUUUUAUUGAGAAAAGGAAAUAUGGUAUUAGAAAUCAAUGUUUUUAAAGGGUAAUUUAAAGAAAUCUAAUCUUGGCAGAUGCUGAAAUAUUUUCAAUUUAGAACAAAUAGUAUUUCUGUCAUCCAGUCAGCUUUUUAAAAUUAGACCAUUACUCCUUGAUAAGUUAAUUACAAAACAGAAAGAGACUCAACCAAUCUAAAAAAGUGUUAUUAAUGAAAGUAUAGAGCACAUGUCUAAAAGCUGCUUUUACUGAUUUAUGGGUGAAAUUUUACUUUUCAUAUGAAAAACCUUGUCUCGAAUGUCUUAAAUCAUAGGGAAAAAUGCUCAAUUUUUCACCCUAUCACAACUAAUUUUUUACACUGGUACACUGAUGGACUAUUGUUUUUCUGUGCUACCAUCCAUUAUAAAAACUGACAGCAUCAUAAUUGAAAUUAUUUAAAAUAUGGUGGAUUUAGAUAAUUCUUUACUUCGGUAUAGAUGUGACUACACAAGAAAUGCUGCUACUGGAAAUUGCUAGGAUGAGUUACCAAAAUGGAAUUAUUGCUCAGCAGGCCAUACUCCUCUGGGGGUAGGAAAUGAAAAAUACCAUUUUUCAUUUCAUUUCAUUUCAUUUCAUUUUCAAAUUCAUUUGAAAUGCGGAAAGAUAGGAGGAAUGGAAGGAACAUUUUUUGUUGUGUCUGAGGCCUGGUCAUCUUUAGUCAAAUCUCUGUGCUCCAGGGCAGAUGCCCAGUUUCACGCUGCACAGACACUUAGGCUCCAUGCAGACAUGAGAAGCAUGGAGUAGGUUGCAACUAUGAGUUGAAAUGUCUCCGGGUCCACCAGCUGAAUCCUGGUCUCACUAAAGUCCCUGGUAAGUCUUUCAGAUCAGUGGAGUCACAAUUUCACCCCAAGGAUUUUGGGUAAAAACAAGUAAAACUCACCAAAAAAAUUACUGUGGGUGAUUAGCUUCAUAAUAUCUGCCCAUGGAUGUCUCUGUGCUGCAUGGCUGCAUUUUGUGCUUCUUGCAGUAAGAACCUGCCAAGGUGCCCAGUGGAAAUCCUUCCUGGUUAGUGCUGGGGUCUGAGCCAAAGCCGUGUCAGGUACCAGUCAAACAAUUUAACAAUAUGACUAGUGGCAAGCUAAAACCCAAACUAAAUGCCCUGCCUCUGAGUAGUUUACCAGUAUAAAAACUGAGCCACAGAGGCAACUGGUUUGGCAAUCUCUUCGGGAAACUGUCACUUAGUGGUGUGUGAUGACUGGUAAACCCACUUCAGCUAAAAUCUUAUUUAGCCUCAAACAACAGGAAUAAAAUAUAAUGGAAGACGAAAAGGUUUUAAACCGUACUAAAAGUACCAACAUACAUCUCUCUUACAACAAAUGUUGCUGUCCUAAAGUGGACAGGCAGAUUUAGCCUUUCCAGAUACUGUACAAUUCCAUAGAAUUUCACAGAACUGGUCAACCGCAGAAAAAACCUGGCCAACUGCAGAAAAAUGGCAGAGAUAACAAAUCUGGGUUAUGGGAGAUGUUGUUUCUGUGAAACUGUAGAGCAUCUGAAAAGGCUAAAUCUACUUGUCCACUUCAGGACAGAAACAUUUUUGGGGUAAGAAAAUAUAUAUUACACUAUAAAUAUAUUGAACAGUACUGGCCCUAGAAUUGAAACUGGAGGAGCACUACUGGUGAUUGGUCGCCAGCCAGGUAUAGCCCCAUUAACUGCAACCCUUAAACUGUUGGACACCAGGUAAAAGAAAUUUAAAGGAAAAAUGUUUGCAGGAGAUUUCUAUACUUCAAAUACAGAAAAAAAAAGCAUGGGAUAGAGCAACCCCCUCCAGCUUUCAGUAUAUACUGUCCGGUGGUAAAUCUAAGAACCUAGAACUUUUGAAAAACAGGUAAUUUUUUAAUUACAUGUGAAUUCUCCUUUAUACAAGGCCAUAUUACUCUUCACAUCAAUACUAUCUCAGAGAUAACAACUGCCUAUAAACUGCAAUAUCGCUCACCUUCCUAAAUGUGGAGGAAAAUUUAGGCAGACACUAGGCUUUGGCUGUACGCCUCCACCCCCUCCUUUUCAUGAACAGCAAUACAGGUACCACUGAAAAGUUUGUAACUUUAUACUGUUACAUGAGAAUAACCCAGGGACACAAUUAUCUCCAUUAUCAGAAAGUAUACAAGCGCAGUGUCCAGCAGCAUCUCCAGAUGCUUAGCCACAUCUCAGGGGACACUGUAAUAGGAGAGCUAAGUUUGACCAGUCUGACCAUUUCUUUAAAAGUUGUAUAGCAGGUGAUAUCUUUUAGUAUGUAUAGCUGCAAUUAUGAAGGUAAUUAAGUGGCACAUUCCAGGGGAGCCCAAGGAGCACCUUAAAUUAAAUCCCUGAGCCUCACAAUGUUAUUGUAAUUAGCUGUCUGUCUUAGUAGGGUUUUUUUGUUUAUUGCAUCUACCCUGUGUGCUAGGGAUGAAAAAACAUAAUUUGACACAAAAUAUUUUAAAUGGUUUAUUACUGAGAUGAAGGCUUAUUUUCAUUUUUCCCAGACCACAUGUUCUUUCUUUCCUUUGCUUUUAAUUACAAAUAUUCACAGCAGUGAGAAUGUUUAAAACUUGAGAAGAUAUUUUAUUGUUUAUUGCUUGCAAAAUAAAGUAAUGAUGUUUGCCCCUUCUAUUUAGAGGGAAAACCUGUCUGGUGAUGUUUGUUUUAUCUUCACCUUACAAAGUAACAUAGUUCAAAUACUCUUAAGGACAGGCAUGUUAGCUCGGCAGUUUUGAUCUGGGAUGGUUCCAGGUUAGACCAUUUUCCAAACACCACUAAUUACCACUGUGGAACAGUUUAUAUUUUGAUAUAAAUGAACUCCCUUUCUUUAAGUGUGAACUUCUAAUUUCUACAGUGGAAAAAAGGAAGUCAGAAGUUCUAAAUGAAAAAUAAAUAUAAGCUGCAUUGAAAAUUUGACUAAUUAUUUAUUAGUUCACAUUAACAUGCAUUAGGGAAGUUACUGGGAGCAUUCUGAGCCCAGGUUCCAGUUCUGUCCCUUGCCUUGUGGCUUUUCAGCAGCAGUUUCUUGCUUCAUAGUGGAGCAAUGUGCAAGGUCAGGUGGGACUGCAUUUGACUCUGUAUUUAUCAUAGUUAUUAAUGUAGCAGCUCAAAAGGUCAAGUGACUUGCAUGAAAUUCUCAGUUUUUAUUUGAGGAAAAAUGUGUCUCUGGCCUUGUGCUUCUGGAGAAAAGAUGAAAAUGUAAAUGUACAAAGACUUAAGAAGUGAAAGGAUACUUAAAAGUCAUUAAAAGACACAAUAAACAUGAAGAAUCUUUUAUCUGAUGUUAUGAUCUGGGGGAUGAAUUCAUGAUUUUUGAAUCAGGGAUGGGAAAGAUGAGGAUGGACAAUAGAAAAAGGGGUGGAGCAAUCUUCCAAAAUACAGAUUAUUUAAACAGCUGUUGUCACAUGUUUAAAACUUGUGAAGAUAUUUUAUUGUCUGUUGCUUGCAAAAUAAAAUUAUGAAGAAUCCAAGCAGUGUUGUAGACUAUGACCUUUCUGGUUGUUAUCUGACUUUAGUCUGUUGUAAUUUUACUAACCAAUAACUUGACACCUUGUGGUGGUUUGAAAAACCUUUUUUGAGGUAGUAAUGGUUUGCCCCACUGAUAAUACUCUUACUGGACCAACCAAUAGUCCACGUGCACCCUACGGAAAUGACAUGCCCACAGAAACAGAAGAGAAGGUAGUGAAGAUAGUUUAGUAGGUAGGUAGCCAUGAUCUGAGCCACGAGGAGGCAGGGGGCCAGUGAGCUCCUCU